GAUGAACGCUAGCUACAGGCUUAACACAUGCAAGUCGAGGGGCAGCAUGGGCUUAGCUUGCUAAGCCCGAUGGCGACCGGCGCACGGGUGAGUAACACGUAUCCAACCUUCCGGUAACUCCGGUAUAGCCUUUCGAAAGAAAGAUUAAUCCCGGAUAGUAUGGUGAUUCCGCAUGGUUUCUCCAUUAAAGGUUUUUUCCGGUGAUCGAUGGGGAUGCGUUCCAUUAGGCAGUUGGCGGGGUAACGGCCCACCAAACCUACGAUGGAUAGGGGUUCUGAGAGGAAGGUCCCCCACAUUGGAACUGAGACACGGUCCAA
rnacentral:rRNA from 1 species